rnacentral:rRNA from 1 species
GACGAACGCUGGCGGCGUGCCUAAUACAUGCAAGUAGGACGCAGUUGCGAACGGGUGAGUAACGCGCAGGUAAACACAUAUUAGAGGGGGAUAACUCUUGGACACGAUAGCUAAUACCGAAUAUUAGCAGACGGACAUGCGUUGUAUUAGAUAGUAGGUAGGGUAAUGGCCUACCUAGGCAACGAUACAUAGCCGACCUGAGAGGGUGAUCGGCCACACUGAGACUGAGACACGGCCCAGACUCCUACGGGAGGCAGCAGUAGGGAAUCUGCGGCAAUGGGGGGAACCCUGACCGAGCAACGCCGCGUGAGUGAAGAAGGUUGUCGGAUCGUAAAGCUCUGUUGUUAAGGAAGCGGUACUUAACCAGAAAGGGACGGCUAACUACGUGCCAGCAGCCGCGGUAAUAC